UUUGAAGUUGUGCGAGUUUUUGACGAUGUGUAAAGCUACAACACUUCUCUGUGCAUGAGCUUUAGCUCUACUUUAACAGUGAAACCAGUUGGCAAGAGAUGUAACCACAAAGCAGUUUUAUAACGUUUCUUAACUCUCUUCCCUCUCAAGUUUUUAGACCUUUAGUCCUGCCAACUCCUUCUUUCCCCUUUAUGGUUUUAAUUUAAAAAUUUGUUUUAUUUAAAUGGGAAGAAGAAUUUUAAGUGGAAGGAAAAAAUGUCAGAAAUCCUAAAUAGAGAGGAAGGGGUUUUGUUGUGACUCAAAGCACCAUUGUAAGUCUCCUCCUCCCAGACCCUGCUAGGAACAGGACAGCUGAUGUCAUGCCAGUACACACAAUGUAGAUUCAGUGCAAAAGGCUGCUGCAUGUUGAAACUGGCCAAAGGUAGGAAAUGACUGGGACUGUAGCAGACAAAAAUGCUGAUUAUGUGUAAGGAUAUGGUGAGACACUUUUUCUCAUAAAUAUCUAGUGAGAUAUGGGUCAGAACAAGCCUAUCUCCCUAAGGCUGCUUGGAGAGGAGAAAAACUUUCCAUAUAAGAUCUUACUAGUCCGGGCGUGGUGGCUCAAGCCUGUAAUCCCAGCAUUUUGGGAGGCAGAGGUUGGGGGAUCACUUGUGGCCAGGAGUUCGAGACCAGCCUGGCCAACAUGGUGAAACCCCGUCUCCACUAAAAAUACAAAAAUUAGCCAGGCAUGGUGGCGUUGCUGGUAGUCACAGCUACUUGGGAGGCUGAGGCAGGAGAAUCACUUGAACCUGGGAGGUGGAGGAUGCAGUGAGCCGAGAUCAUGCCACUGCACUCCAGCCUGGGCAACAGAGUGAGACUCUGUCUCAAAAAAUAUAUAAAAAUAAAAAUAAAGAUCCUACUAGAUGGCUGAUAGCACUGGGCCACCAGAUUGAUUGCUAAAGGUAUAGGAAGAUGGAAGAGGCUGGGCACGGUGGCUUACAUCUGUAAUGAGAAUUUAGGGAGGCCCAAGGCAGGAGGAUUGCUUGUGCCCAGGAGUUUGAGACCAGCCUGGGCAACAUAGCCAGACCUCGUCUCUACUAAAAAUUUAAAAAUUAGCCAGGUGUGGUAGUAUGCAUUGAUAGUCCCAGCCUCCCAAAUAGCUGGGAUUAUAGGCGCCCGCCACCACGCCCAGCUAAUUUUUGUAUGUUUAGUAGAGACGGAGUUUCAUCAUAUUGGUCAGGCUGGUCUUGAACUCCUGACCUCAGGUGAUCUGCCUGCCUCAAGCCUCCCAAAGAGCUGGGAUUACAGGCAUGAGCCACCACGCCCAGUCUCAGUCUAGAUUAUUUUUAACAGUUCUGUCAGGUAUUCUAUAGUCUGAGCUCAACCUACCUGUAUAGUCUCACAGCCAAUCUUAUACUCAAACCUUGGAAUACUCAUCCCCCAACUGCUACUUUUUGAAUCUUUUAUUCUUAAUAUUUCACGUUUUAACUUCAGUGUGUUUAUACUUUUUGAAAUGAGACCAGAACAUAGUAGACUUUAUAGAGAAGACCAGUUUUACCUAGAUUCCAAAGGAAGAAUUAAACUGCUGUUAUUGUUUGAAAUGCGUUUUUUUUUUGUUUUUGUUUUUUUUUUUUUUAUGGAGAUAGGGUCUUAACUCUGUUGCCCAGGCUGGAGGAGUACAGUGGUACAGUUAUGGCUCACUGCAGCCUUGACCCCUCUGCCUCAGCCUCCCAAAUAGCUGGGGCCACAGGUGUGUACCACCACUCUCAGCUAAUUUUUAAAAUUUUUUAUGGAGACAGCGUUUCGCUAUGUUGCCCAGACUGUUCUUAAACUCCUGGGCUCAAGUGAUCCUCCUGCCUUGGCCUCCCAAGCUGGUGAAAUUACAGGCAUGAGCCACCACACCCAGCCUGAAAUUCUUAAAGGAUGAGAAUGUCAAUGACAGAGCACCUUGGCAUCAUUGUGACUAACCUGGGAGACAGGGAAGAAGCACGCCAUGGGAAGUGUUUACAUUUGGGUACAGCUGUGCUAAGUACUGUGGAGCCCAUAGCCUUGAGGUAGACGGCUACUUUGCCUUUUUUCUUGAACUGUCUUGCAGAAUGUGGAUUUGGGGUAAGUGGUCUUGAAGCACUCAUUUAGUCACCCUCAAAUUAAGAUUUUUACUUCAUCUUUCUUGGGCCUGUACCUCCAAGAUGACAAAGAAAAGAAGAAACAAUGGUCACACCAAAGAGGGCCGCAACCAGGUGUACGCUAUUCACUGCAGCCAAUUUGCUGCAUAAACUGUGCCCAUUGUGUGCCCAAUGACAAGGCUUAUUAAGAAAUUCAUCAUAGGCCGGGCGCGGUGGCUCACGCCUGUAAUCCCAGCACUUUGGGAGGCUGAGGCGGGCGGAUCACGAAGUCAGGAGAUUGAGACCAUCCUGGCUAACACGGUGAAACCCUGUCUCUACUAAAAACACAAAAAAAUUAGUUGGGCGUGGUGGCGGGCGCCUGUAGUCCCAGCUACUCGGGAGGCUGAGGCAGGAGAAUGGCGUGAACCCGGGAGGCAGAGCUUGCAGUGAGCCGAGAUCACGCCACUGCACUCCAGCCUGGGCAAGAGUGAGACUCCGUCUC
rnacentral:lncRNA from 1 species